UAACGAACGAGACCUUAACCUGCUAAAUAAGUCAGGCCGGCGUUUUGCUGGUCGCAGACUUCUUAGAGGGACUGUCAGCGUCUAGCUGACGGAAGUUUGAGGCAAUAACAGGUCUGUGAUGCCCUUAGAUGUUCUGGGCCGCACGCGCGCUACACUGACAGAGCCAGCGAGUUCUCACCUUGGCCGGAAGGUCUGGGUAAUCUUGUGAAACUUUGUCGUGCUGGGGAUAGAGCAUUGCAAUG
rnacentral:rRNA from 1 species